GGCAUUCGGGAGGCAUAUACUACUGAACAGGGGUAGUCGGUAUUUGUCGUCGGUAUUUGUAGGAGAACACCCGAAAGAUGACCGGUUGCUGCCUUGUUUUCUAUUGAACUAUUUUGGGGCAUCACUGCGUGGCUGACUGGUCAAAACUUAAUUUGAAUGGCAUUUCUAAACCACUGAAGGGAUCUGGGUGCCGAAAAGUGGGUUCGAGGAAGAAAUAGCGGAUAUACCUAGUUGUGGUAUCGGAGCUCCGCU